GAGUUUGAUCUUGGCUCAGAUUGAACGCUGGCGGCAGGCCUAACACAUGCAAGUCGAGCGGAUGACGGGAGCUUGCUCCUUGAUUCAGCGGCGGACGGGUGAGUAAUGCCUAGGAAUCUGCCUGGUAGUGGGGGACAACGUUUCGAAAGGAACGCUAAUACCGCAUACGUCCUACGGGAGAAAGCAGGGGACCUUCGGGCCUUGCGCUAUCAGAUGAGCCUAGGUCGGAUUAGCUAGUUGGUGGGGUAAUGGCUCACCAAGGCGACGAUCCGUAACUGGUCUGAGAGGAUGAUCAGUCACACUGGAACUGAGACACGGUCCAGACUCCUACGGGAGGCAGCAGUGGGGAAUAUUGGACAAUGGGCGAAAGCCUGAUCCAGCCAUGCCGCGUGUGUGAAGAAGGUCUUCGGAUUGUAAAGCACUUUAAGUUGGGUAGGAAGGGCAGUAAGUUAAUACCUUGCUGUUUUGACGUUACCGACAGAAUAAGCACCGGCUAACUCUGUGCCAGCCGCCG
rnacentral:rRNA from 1 species